rnacentral:misc_RNA from 1 species
GGGCGAGUCCUUUUUCAUAAUGUUCACUGAUGGGGUCUGAUUUGUUUUUAAGGUCGGACUGCGGCAGCUUGGGUCUUGCGCAAUGGAGACUCAUGAACCCCGCCAGGUCCGGAAGGAAGCAACGGUAAGUGAUCAUCUUCAUGUGCCGCAAGGGCGCCUGAUUUGCCGUAGCCCGACGUUAAAAACA